UCUGGCGACCAUAGUGCUGUGGUGCUACCUGACUCCAUUCCGAACUCAGAAGUAAAAUGCAGUAACGCCGAUGGUAGUGUAGUGUUUCGCUAUGUGAGAGUAGGACAUCGCCAGAU
rnacentral:rRNA from 1 species